GUUUCCAAACUCUGCCGAGUCGGUGAUAGUACUGUUUUGAUUUUUGAAACGAUUCCAAAUCGGAUUUCACCUUGUUUUUGAGAUCCGUGUCCAUCACUACCGUAUCAAAAGUUGCUGGGUGUGCGAACGGCACUGAUCUCCACCGUCCGUUUCUCUGAGGUUCAUUAUCUACAUUGACGAAUAAUCUCACCUCCUUUUUCCUCUGCUCAAUUU
rnacentral:misc_RNA from 1 species